GAACUUUCCAGAGAUGGAUUGGUGCCUUCGGGAACUUAGAUACAGGUGCUGCAUGGCUGUCGUCAGCUCGUGUCGUGAGAUGUUGGGUUAAGUCCCGCAACGAGCGCAACCCUUUUCCUAUUUGCCAGCGGGUCAUGCCGGGAACUUUAAGGAUACUGCCAGUGACAAACUGGAGGAAGGCGGGGACGACGUCAAGUCAUCAUGGCCCUUACGGCCAGGGCUACACACGUGCUACAAUGGUCGGUACAAAGGGUUGCUACCUCGCGAGAGGAUGCUAAUCUCAAAAAGCCGAUCGUAGUCCGGAUCGCAGUCUGCAACUCGACUGCGUGAAGUCGGAAUCGCUAGUAAUCGCGGAUCAGAAUGCCGCGGUGAAUACGUUCCCGGGCCUUGUACACACCGCCCGUCACACCAUGGGAGUUUGUUGCACCAGAAGUAGGUAGUCUAACCGCAAGGAGGACGCUUACCACGGUGUGGCCGACUGACUGGGGUGAAGUCGUAACAAGGUAAGCGUAGAUGA
rnacentral:rRNA from 1 species